rnacentral:rRNA from 1 species
UAACAAGGAUUCCCUAGUAACGGCGAGUGAAGCGGGACAGAUCGGCCCAGCACCGAAUCCCCGAGGCGAGAGCUUCGCGGGAACUGUGGUGUAUAGGAAGGCGAUUUGUCGGCCGGUCUCCGGCGCCCAGGUCCUCCUGAUCGUGGCCUCUCAUUCCCAAGGCGGGUGUUAGGCCCAUACUGGCGCCCUAGGAGCCGGCGGCAUUCGAACUUCCUCGGAGUCGGGUUGUUUGGGAAUGCAGCCCGAAGCGGGUGGUAAACUCCAUCUAAGGCUGAAUAUGAACACGAGUCCGAUAGCGAACAAGUACCGUGAGGGAAAGUUGAAAAGAACUCUGAAGAGAGAGUUCAAGAGUGCGUGAAACCGCCUAGAGCCAAACGGGUGGACCCGCAGAAUCAGUUCGGCGCGGGGGAUUCAGCCGACCCAAUGCCGGGAUCGAGCUUGUGGUGGAUCUGGCAACGGACCACUCUGGCGAGACCCACCUCGGCUUGUGGUCGGUGCACUUUCUCCGCGUCGAGUGCCACGACCGGUUCCCGCGACAAAGCCAGCGCCAGACGGCCGAGAGGCAAGGUGGCUACCUCCGACCUUCGGGUCGGUUUGGAAGCGUUAUAGGCCUUUUCUCGGACCCGGGCCGCUGCAUCAAGGGGACCGAGGAAGCACCCGUGCCGCGCGGUGUCUUGCGGCGGGCCAUCGGCGUACGAUCGACUGCGGCUAGCACUGUUCCUCUCGGGGUACAGUCGUGUCGCGACAGCGUGCGUCGAAGGGUUCGCCUGCUUGCCCGCGUGUGCAAGGUCAGUGGCGACUCGGUCGGUCCUCCACCCGACCCNNNCCAAGGAGUCUAACAUGUGCGCGAGUCAGAGGGUCUCGCUUAACAAAACCCCGUGGCGCAAUGAAAGUGAAAGAGCGUCCUCGUCGUCGUCUCUGGGCGAGAUGCCGUCAUCUCCGAGAGGAGACCGGUCACAUCGCCGGCCCGUCUCGUCCGCGCCCCGUGGGCUGCGUUUCGGCGUAGUCGUUCGGGUAUGUGUCGGUGAGGCGGAGCAAGAGCGCACACGUUGGGACCCGAAAGAUGGUGAACUAUGCGUGAGUAGGACGAAGCCAGAGGAAACUCUGGUGGAGGUCCGUAGCGAUUCUGACGUGCAAAUCGAUCGUCAAACUGGCGUAUAGGGGCGAAAGACUAAUCGAACCAUCUAGUAGCUGGUUCCCUCCGAAGUUUCCCUCAGGAUAGCUGGCGCUCAUUUCGCAGUUUUAUCCGGUCGAGCGAAUGAUUAGAGGCCUUGGGGUCGAAAGGACCUCAACCUAUUCUCAAACUUCAAAUGGGUAAGAAGCCCGACUCGCUCAAAUUAUGGAGUCGCGGCCUUCGAAUGCAGUGUGCCAAGUGGGCCACUUUUG